CAGCAGCCGCGGUAAUACGGGGGGGGCAAGUGUUAUUCGGAAUGACUGGGCGUAAAGGGCACGUAGGCGGUGAAAAGGGUGGAAAGUGAAAGUCGCCAAAACACUGGCGGGGUGCUUUCUUGACCAUUUCACUUGAGUGAGAUAGGGGAGAGUGGAAUUUCGUGUGGAGGGAUCAAAUCCUAAGAUAUACGAAGGAACGCCAACCGCGAAGGCAGCUCUCUGGGUCCCCACUGACGCUGGGGUGCGAAAGCAUGGGGAGCAAACAGGAUCAGAUACCCGCGUAGUCCCUGUCUCUUAUACA
rnacentral:rRNA from 1 species